rnacentral:rRNA from 1 species
AACGAACGCUGGCGGCAUGCCUAACACAUGCAAGUCGAACGAGACCUUCGGGUCUAGUGGCGCACGGGUGCGUAACGCGUGGGAACCUGCCCUUAGGUUCGGAAUAACUCCCCGAAAGGGGUGCUAAUACCGGAUAAUGUCUUCGGACCAAAGAUUUAUCGCCUUUGGAUGGGCCCGCGUUGGAUUAGCUAGUUGGUAGGGUAAAAGCCUACCAAGGCGACGAUCCAUAGCUGGUCUGAGAGGAUGAUCAGCCACACUGGGACUGAGACACGGCCCAGACUCCCACGGGAGGCAGCAGUGGGGAAUAUUGGACAAUGGGCGAAAGCCUGAUCCAGCAAUGCCGCGUGAGUGAUGAAGGCCUUAGGGUUGUAAAGCCCUUUUACCCGGGAUGAUAAUGACAGUACCGGGAGAAUAAGCUCCGGCUAACUCCGUG